GUGCAACAGAAAGUAUGUACGGGCCUGCAAAGGCCGCUGUAGUGAAAUCAGGUAAACUCUAUGUGGUGCAAGCUCAAAUAGGUCUACGCUAAGGACGGCCAGUCCGAGUAGACGGGUAGAGUGCUCGAGGCCUGCAGCAAUGUAGGCCCUAGAUGAAUGACGCCCAAAUACAGAAUCCGGCCUACAGACUUUCUCGGUUU
rnacentral:RNase_P_RNA from 1 species